GAUAGGUGGGAGGCAGUGAAAAUAGUCUUGCGGGAUUAUUAGUGCCAACGGUGAGAUACCACUCUAGUAAAGAUAAAAUUCUAACUCUAUACCGUUAUCCGGAUAGAGAACAGUUUCAAGUGGGCAGUUUGACUGGGGCGGUCGCCUCCUAAAAGGUAACGGAGGCGUGCAAAGGUUCCCUCAGGCUGGUUGGACAUCAGUCGAAGAGUGUAAAGGCAUAAGGGAGCUUGACUGCGAGACCCACAAGUCGAGCAGAGACGAAAGUCGGCCUUAGUGAUCCGACGGUUCCGAGUGGAAGGGCCGUUGCUCAACGGAUAAAAGUUACUCUAGGGAUAACA
rnacentral:rRNA from 1 species